UACGUAGGGUGCGAGCGUUGUCCGGAAUUAUUGGGCGUAAAGAGCUUGUAGGUGGCUCGUCGCGUCGGGUGUGAAAACCCGCGGCUUAACCGCGGGCCUGCUUUCGAUACGGGCGGGCUAGAGUUCGGCAGGGGAGACUGGAAUUCCUGGUGUAGCGGUGGAAUGCGCAGAUAUCAGGAGGAACACCGGUGGCGAAGGCGGGUCUCUGGGCAGUAACUGACGCUGAGGAGCGAAAGCGUGGGGAGCGAACAGG
rnacentral:rRNA from 1 species